rnacentral:rRNA from 1 species
AGUUUGAUCCUGGCUCAGAACGAACGCUGGCGGCGUGCUUAACACAUGCAAGUCGAGUGCGCGGUUGUAGCAAUACAACUGGCGCACGGCGCACGGGUGCGUAACACGUGGGUAACCUGCCCUUUGGUGGGGAAUAACCCCGGGAAACCGGGGCUAAUUCCGCAUAAGAUCCGCAAGGAUGAAAGCCGCAAGGCGCCGAUGGAGGGGCCCGCGCACGAUUAGCUAGUUGGUAGGGUAAUGGCCUACCAAGGCGAUGAUCGUUAGCUGGUCUGAGAGGAUGGCCAGCCACACUGGAACUGAGACACGGUCCAGACUCCUACGGGAGGCAGCAGUGGGGAAUCUUGCACAAUGGGCGAAAGCCUGAUGCAGCGACGCCGCGUGGGGGAUGAAGCUUCUCGGAGUGUAAACCCCUUUCGACCCGGACGAAUGCCCCGCAAGGGGACUGACGGUACGGGUAUAAGAAGCCCCGGCUAACUACGUGCCAGCAGCCGCGGUAAUACGUAGGGGGCCAGCGUUGUUCGGAAUUACUGGGUGUAAAGGGUUCGUAGGCGGUGAGGCAAGUUGGGAGUGAAAUCUCUGGGCUUAACUCAGAGGCUGCUUUCAAAACUGCUUUGCUUGAGUGUGGGAGAGGCGCGUGGAAUUGCAGGUGUAGCGGUGAAAUGCGUAGAUAUCUGCAGGAACACCCGUGGCGAAAGCGGCGCGCUGGACCAUAACUGACGCUGAGGAACGAAAGCUAGGGGAGCAAACAGGAUUAGAUACCCUGGUAGUCCUAGCCCUAAACGAUCAGGACUUGGGGUGCCACCCGUUCGGGUGUCGUCCCGGAGCUAACGCGUUAAGUCCUGCACCUGGGGAGUACGGUCGCAAGACUGAAACUCAAAGGAAUUGACGGGGGCCCGCACAAGCGGUGGAACAUGUGGUUCAAUUCGACG